rnacentral:rRNA from 1 species
AUUGAACGCUGGCGGCAUGCCUUACACAUGCAAGUCGAACGGCAGCACGGGUGCUUGCACCUGGUGGCGAGUGGCGAACGGGUGAGUAAUACAUCGGAACGUACCUUAUCGUGGGGGAUAACGCAGCGAAAGCUGUGCUAAUACCGCAUACGCCCUGAGGGGGAAAGCGGGGGAUCGCAAGACCUCGCGCGAUUAGAGCGGCCGAUGCCUGAUUAGCUUGUUGGUGGGGUAAAAGCCCACCAAGGCGACGAUCAGUAGCUGGUCUGAGAGGACGAGCAGCCACACUGGGACUGAGACACGGCCCAGACUCCUACGGGAGGCAGCAGUGGGGAAUUUUGGACAAUGGGGGCAACCCUGAUCCAGCAAUGCCGCGUGAGUGAAGAAGGCCUUCGGGUUGUAAAGUUCUUUUGUCAGGGAAGAAACACCGGCUCUAACACAGUCCGGGAAUGACGGUACCUGAAGAAUAAGCACCGGCUAACUACGUGCCAGCCGCCGCGGUAA